GCCUUCGCAGUCUCCACGAUCACGAUGGUCCUCUGGUGUCCCAUCUUUCUCUCUCAAACUGUCCUUUCCUCAAUCCUUUGACUCCGCCGGACUUUGUCACCCCCACAACCUGGUUUUGGGUCUGGCCACCCCAACAUUAAGUAAAAUUGUAUAUAUAGUCUUUUCACGCAAAUCUUACACGUAAGAAAAACUAUUCCCAGCAGAUGACAUGAUUGUAUAUUUAGAAAAUCCCAACGUCUCAGCCCAAAAUCUCCUUAAGCUGGUAAGCAACUUCAGCAAAGUCUCAGGAUACAAAAUCAAUGUGCAAAAAUCUCAAGCAUUCCUAUACACGAAUAACAGACAAUCAGAGAGCAAAAUCAUGAGUGAACCACUCACGAUUGCUACAAAGAGAAUAAAAUACCUAGGAAUACAACUUACAAGGGAUGUGAAGAACCUCUUCAAGGAGAACUACAAACCACUGCUCAAGGAAAUAACAGAGGACACAAACAAAUGGAAGAACAUUCCAUGCUCAUGAAUAGGAAGAAUCAAAAUCGUGCAAAUGGCCAUACUGCCCAAAGUAAUUUAUAGACUCAAUUCUAUCCCCAUCAAGCGACCAUUGACUUUCGUCACAGAAUUGGAAAAAACUACUUUAAAUUUCAUAUGGAACCAAAUAAGAGCCCAUAUAGCCAAUACAAACCUAAGCAAAAAGAACAAAGCUGGGGGCAUCAUGCUACCUGACUUCAAACUAUACUGCAAGGCUACAGUAACCAAAACAGCAUGGUACUGUUACCAAAACAGAUAUGUAGACCAAUGGAACAGAACAGAGCCCUCAGAAAUAAUGCCACACAUCUACAACCAUCUGAUCUUUGACAAACCUGACAAAAACAAGCAAUAGGGAAAGGAGUCCCUGUUUAAUAAAUGGUGUUGGGAAAACUGGCUGGCCAUAUUCAGAAAACUAAAACUGGACCCCUCCCUUACACCUUAUACAAAAAUUAAAUCAAGAUGAAUUAAAGAUUUGAACAUAAGACCUAAAACCAUAAAAACUUUAGAAGAAAACCUAGGCAAUGCCAUUCAGGACAUAGGCAUGGACAAAGACUUCAUGACUACAACACCAAAAGCAAUGGCAAUAAAAGGCAAAAUUGACAAACGGAAUCUAAUUAAACUAAAGAGCUUCUGCACAGCAAAAGAAACUAUCAACAGAGUGAACAGGCAACCUACAUAAUGGGAGGAAAUCUUUGCAAUCUAUCCAUCUGACAAAGUGCCAAUAUCCAGAAUCUACAACGAACUUAAACAAAUGUACAAGAAAAAAACAACCCCAUCAAAAACUGGGUGACAGAUAUGAAUAGGCACUUCUCAAAAGAAGACAGUUAUGUGGCCAAUAAAUAUGAAAAAAAAAAGCUCAUCAUCACUGGUCAUUAGAGAAACGUAAAUCAAAACCACAAUGAAAUAUCAUCUCACGCCAAUUAGAAUGGCAAUCAUUAAAAAGUCAGGAAAGAGAUGCUGGAAAGGGUGUGGAGAAAUAGGGAGGCUUUUACACUGUUGGUGAGAGUGUAAAUUAGUUCAACCAUUGUGGAAGACAGUGUGGCAAUUCCUCAAGGAUCUAGAACCAGAAAUACCAUUUGACCCAGCAAUCCCAUUACUGGCUAUAUACCCAAAAGAUUAUAAAUCAUUCUAGUAUAAAGACACAUGCACAUGUAUGUUUAUUGCAGCACUAUUCACAAUAGCAGACUUGGAACCAAUGUAAAUGCUCAUCAGUGAUAGACUGGAUAAAGAAAAUGUAGCAAAUAUACACCAUGGAAUACUAUGCAGCUAUAAAAAUGACGAAUUCAUGUCCUUUACAGGAACAUGGAUGAAGAUGGAAGGCAUAAUUCUCAGCAACCCAAACAAGAACAGAAAACCAAACACCUCAUGUUCUCACUCAUAACUGGGUGUUGAACAAUGAGAACACAUGGACACAGAGAGGGAAAUGUCAUGCACUGGGGCCUGUCAGGGGGUGGGGAGCUAGAGGAGGGAUAGCAUUAGGAGAAAUACCUAAUGUAGAUGACAGUUUGAUGGGUGCACGAAACAACCGUGGCACAUGUAUACCUAUGAAACAAACCUGCAGGUUCUACACAUGUAUCUUGAAACUUAAAGUAUAAUUUUAGAAAAUUCCAGCUAUAUAAUUAUCAUUCCUGUUUAAAAAUGAGCAUUUUAAUUUUAUUUUCUAAGCAAUUAUUGGUGAUUUUUAAAGAAUCUUGAUGUUUCUAUAUUAAUCUUGAAACUGACCAGGACCCAGACCUAUUUUGUUAAUUUUAAUAGUUUUACUUUAAUAGUCCUGGAUUUUUAGUACACAUGAUCAUUAUCUCUGCAAAUAAUGAUACUAGCUAGAGAGAGAAAAAAAUCUCAUUAACAUCAUCUUUGGUGAAGAUGUGUGUGGUUCCUUUGUGCUUUGACUCCUCCAUUAUGCAAUUAGUCCUAAUAGAUCAUCUUGUCAGUGGUAUGCACUUGUUUCCAGACUUAACCCCUCUAGGAAGUAUUUUCCCACGUAGGAGUAAAUUGUUUGUAUUUUUAAGAACCUGGUUUAGAGGGAGAAAAUGGCAAGAAGUAAUCCUGUUUUAUCUUAGAGCUAUUGAACUAUUAAAUGCUGCUUAUUUAUGGCAGGGGAAGGAAUAUUCCACUUAUUCUAUGGUCUACCCAUGCAUCCAUCAUCAAUCCUUCCAAAACAGGUAAUGGUGAUGGAAUAUGCCAAACUGUCUUUAAUUUCCUUCCUGAAAAAGCGAAAUACUUUCCCAGAAAGAGAAAUCGUGUAUCAGUUUCAAGUGUCUUCAUCAAAUUACCUACAGCAUUUUGUAUCUGGCAAAAUUUACUUGAGGCUGUGAUUUGCUCCCGUUUCAUUUUGCACUUCACUGCUGAUGAAUUCUUCGUUUUGUGUUUACUUUUAUUUUCUUAUCUCUUUCCUCUUUUUUUUUUUCUAGAUUUAUUGGGUGUCUUUGAUCAGAUUCUGUUUCAUCCCCUGUAACUGUAGAGUUUGGGUAUUUACCUAUGUGUUACAGCUACUCCUCCCCUAAUUAGGCUGUAAAGCUCUAUGUAAUUCCCAGCUAACCUCCAGCACCAUCUUAGUGUUUCCAAAGGUUUUUACAGUUAAACACUGUUGUGAAACUAAAGGGGGAAAUAAAUGUGAAGUUAUUCAGGUUUCAGAAUGGUAUAAAAAUUUUACAGGAAUUAUGACUUUAGUACUUCCAACCAUGUUGAUAAGAUGGCAUCUUGAAACCAACAUGAGAUCUUCAGCCUUAGAUUCUUCUGACUUAAUUGACAUUCUGUCUACCUCAUCCCAGAAGUAAGCUUGUUCUCUUUUCCACUUCCUGAAGAAUUUUAUCCCAGCUGAAAGGCAUUCUGGAAUGGAAAGGGCAAAUAAUAAUAAUAAUAACAAUAAGCCUCAACUCCAGGAAAGUUCUGACUUUUAGGAUUUCCAGCACAAUCACCACCACCACCACGACCACCACCACCACCACACAUUACCUUAUAGAAGAGAUUUUCAUCUUCCUUGUAAUUCCUAAAAGAAUCACUGGUCCCAAAGGCUAGAGAUGCUGGGGAGGGGCUGCCUGUUUCACUCACGCAGCAGCUUCCGCCUCCCCCAUCCUGGGCGCCCAUCCUCCAGCUUAGGUGUCAGCUGUCCAUCACCUCUACCCCCACUGUCUCAUUUGUGCUUUUUUUCUCUCGUAAUAGAAAAGUGGGGAGCCGCUGGGGAGCCACCCCAUUCAUCCCCAUAUUUCCCCCUCUCAUAACUUCUCCCCAUCCCAGGAGGACUUCUCAGGCCUGGCGUGGGGCUCCGGGUGGGUUCGGGGGCGAUUCAACCUGUGUGCUGGGAAGGACGAGACUUCCUCUUGAACAGUGGGCUGUUGUAAAGAUAUUUGAGAAGUUUUACUAAUAAAGUUUUAUUUAAAAAGAA